CCUCUCUCUCUCUAUCCUAUCCUAAUCGAUGCCAUUCUCCUCCAUCCCCGCCUCCGUCGGCGUCCAUCUCCUUCGCCGCCUCCGUCGCCGGUCCUUCUCCCUCUCCGCCUCCGUCGCCUCCAGCGCCAUCGGCAUCUCCUUCCCCUCCAGCACCGUCGCCUCCCCCGGCCUCACCGCCUUCUCCGCCCCCUUCAUCGCCGUCCGUAUCCCUCGCCGUCGCCGCCUUGUCCGCCUCCUCUUUCACCAUCCGUCUCCUCCGCCCGCGUCGCCUUCUCCGGCCCCCUCCGUCGCCGUCCGCCUCCCCCGCCCUCGCCGCCUCCUUCGACGCCAUUCUGGGCCUCCCGUUCACCUCUAUCGUCGCCUCCGUCGCCCGUCCAUCUCCCUCGCCGCGUUCAUCGCCUCCAGCGCCCUCGCGGCCCUCUGCCCCAUCCACCUUCUCUACCUCCAGCGACCUGUGGCGGCUGCGGCGUACGUGCUCGGCGCCUCGGCAAGGGCGGCGGAUCCACGAUGUGCUGCUUGUAUGGCAGUCCGGCGGAGGAGAGGCUGAUGAUGCAACGUCGCCCUCAUCUUGAUGUUGCCGUUGAUUGUUCAUCCCAUCUCUUCGGCUGCUACUGGUUCGAGAACAGAAAUAGUUCCACUCCCUGUGCUACAUCACAUAAGUCAAAUUUCAGAAGAUACUACUAGUUUAUAGUGGUUACGGCCAGCAUGGAACAGUUAAGCCAUGCAGUGGAGCUCCAAUGGUGAGUUUGCCUUUCAUUGUCUUGUUGGAGAUUGCACGUUGGAAUUACUGGCAAAAGUCAUGCUUCUUGCAUUCAAGAGUUGUAUCCUGUUCUGCGAGUAUGAUCUAGCAGCAUGGUAUGGGGCUGAUAUUUUAUAAAGGACAACGACCAAUGUCUGAAUUGAAAUAUAUAUAUAUAUAUAUAUUGUACUCGCCAUAAUUUAAUGUCUAUCACAGAAGCAGUAAUAUACUCCCUUGCGAUAUAUCCCACGUGGUUUUCUUUGGUAGACAGUGUUCGUGUUUUAAAACAAAUGAAUAGACAAAGAUGAUAUAUAUUUGCACUUGGGAGUUGCCAUGGAUGGUUACUGCAAGAUGCUUUAAUUUUGUCCAUGUCGCGAGGGGUCAAUCCCAGUACCACACCACUUCUUUUUUUCAAUCAUCUAACAUAACUGCAACUAUCUUUUUUAUCUUCACCUAACAGAAAUUAAUCUGCAAUCACCACGGUUAAUAUAUCCUGAAACUUGGCUUGAUAGAGCUUUAUUUUUUGCUAAUUACACCCCUGACCUCCACAUUUACAUGCAUAUCACUUAAGAAGUAUAUAAUCAUCUGAACAAAGUCUCUGAUACAACAAAAUAAAACGCUGAAGAAACGUCAGUGGUCCAUCCCCAACCUUCAAUUGUGUUGAUGCUUCUUACACAUGCUCCCUCUCAUAGCUCCGGCUUGAGGAUUACUUCGCAAGUUGCAAACAUGUUCAGGAAAGUGAAUAAUUCUGUGAUACAAGUGAAUCUGACAGUCGCGGCUGCUUUAAAAUCUCAUCUCAUAAUGAAAAUAUUCUAGCAGUUAAAGAAUAUAUAUCAUGAUGAUUUAUGAGAAUUCUUGUGGACAUACAUGGACAAAUUAGUAAUUAAUACUAUAAGUUAGAAACUAUAUGGAACUGCUCCCUAAAAAAACAACUCAGGAACUGAGUUUCUAAUUCAGAAAUGUUCCCUCAGAUAAAAACUCAGGAACUGUGUCAACGAUCCUAAAAUUGUGAGUAUUUUCUUUUCAAACAAUACUUUUAGAUUUUUAGAAAUAUACCAUAACAGAAAUUAACAGUCAAAAUAGUAUUUUAUACAUACUCAAGUUCAGAGAUUCAGUUGAAUUGUAUUUUAUUCAAAUAAUAUUAUAAUAGCUAGCACAUUACAUCUUCAGAAUUAAUAUAUACUCCAAUAUAUUGCAUCCAGCCCGAAUCAAAAUUCAGCAUCCAUCCAUAUCAAAGUCACAUCCGAUAAAUCGAAUUGGAACUUUGUAUACAACGCUAUACAUGCAACUAGUAGCAAUAGCAUUAGCAUGUUCCUCUUCUUAUGCGGUUCGUUUCAAAAAAGCAGGUUCCUCUUCUUAUCAACAACGAAGAAAUCAAAUUCGAUUGAGAGCAAACGCACAAGUACCAUGAUGAUCGAAAAUAAAUACUAGCUGUUCGCUUGUUCAGUGGGAGGAGGAGAUCAACGCGGAUGUGAACGCGGUCGUCAGGGCCGAAGAAAUCGGCAUGGCCGUGGUCGAUAGGGAGGAGAUCGGUGCAGUGCAGAUGCGCGUGGUCGCCAGCAACGGAGGUUGGCACGGCCGUGGUGGCUAGACAGGGAUCAGCGACAUCGACGGCGGG